rnacentral:lncRNA from 1 species
CCCGGGACAGUUUCCAGUCGGCUUCUCCGUGACCUUCCUCCCCCUUCCAGCUCGGAGCGGGAUGCUGGGAUCCCUCCAAGGACCCUCUGAGGACGUAGGAGGGAUGCUGAGACAGGGCCAGCUUCAAACCUUGUCAAGCUCUGACAAGGGAAGAUGAAGCCUAGUUCCAGCUAGGGGUGACCUGUCUAUCUGCAUUUUUUGAGCUGCAGAGUGAUGGGAGUCAUAUUCGCUGCCUGUGCAGCACCACAGGCCUGAUGAAAAUGAAAUGGCAACACCGUGCAGAUGGCAAAGCGUAGGCCUCACAAACAUCCUGGCCGUGAAGGAGCUUGUCUUCAAGAGUAGCUGGUGCAGAAACUCGCUCGGACUGACCUGGAAGAAGACCCUGAGGAGAACCCGGGCACACAGCAGCCAUUCCAGUCCUCAGCUUCAAGGGGGCUCACGAAGGUUGUGGAUCCUUGCCCAGCCUGCAGUGGGGACCUGGUGUGGCAUUGAGUGGCUGUGAGUGCUCAGUGUCCCCCAUCUCAUGCUAAGCACAGCGAAGUAGGGGGAGAUUGCGUAGUGUGCUGAUGGAGCAGUUGCCUCCACCUGGCUGCGUGUCCCUCCGUCAUGUGACAGAAAAGAAGAAGGCAAUGGUGUUUUUCUGUAGCAAGUCACUAUUUAUGGAAGAGGAGACCCUUUAUCUGCAUCGCAAUUCUGAAGAU